rnacentral:rRNA from 1 species
UGGCGGACGGGUGAGUAACGCGUAAGCAACCUGCCCUUCGGAGGGGGAUAGUGUCUGGAAACGGACAGUAAUACCGCAUAACGUAUUUUUACCGCAUGAUAGAAAUACCAAAACUGAGGUGCCGAAGGAUGGGCUCGCGUUGGAUUAGAUAGUUGGUGGGGUAACGGCCUACCAAGUCGACGAUCCAUAGCCGGACUGAGAGGUUGAACGGCCACAUUGGGACUGAGACACGGCCCAGACUCCUACGGAAGGCAGCAG